rnacentral:lncRNA from 1 species
CGGCAUGAGAUUUUCAAUUCCCCUAGUAAAUUAGGGAGAUAUUAUGAAGGAACAAGCAAUGAACGAGACACUACAACAAUUAAUAUUACAGUAUUAAUACUGUAUAAGAAAUGGACAAUUUCUUAACAUUAAAGUAUAUGGAAAUGUCACUCAUAAAUAAAAAGCUAGGAUCAUAUAUGAUCAUUUGGAUACUUAUAACACAUACACAUAAAGGAGAACUGAUUAAGGUGGGUUACCCAAUAACACGUGUCACAACUUCAUAACAUAGAGUUAUCCUAAUCAAAGUGUUUUGCAGCGGAAAACGUGUGAGAUAUACAUAUGAAGAUGUAUACUCAAGGUUACAUUUCUUGAAAUGUCAAAGGAACACCCGCUCAACAUCAUUCCAUUCCAUCAACUGCUCAACCUGCACAUUUAGAAAUACAUGCAGGGCUGAGUAUAAAAAUACUCAGUGGGCAUAGCCGAAAAUACAACAUGCAUACAUAUAUAAAUUGAACUGCCAUAACAGUAACACACAGGGGUUUUCUUAAAUGACCUGCGCUUACUAAAAUAUUUCUUUCAUUUUCAUAAAGUCGAUCGGCCGAUCAUUUUCCUUCAUAUGAUCCAUAUCUGUUCCUUUCUGUCACGCGCCGGGAAGGAGGCCUCCUUACCACGGACGCCAAGACCGGUCGCAAGCGACUCGCGAUCUCCAUAAGUGUACACGUUAACCCUAGCUAGCGACCUUUGUCUAGCAUAGGAUCCCAAUUGGAUUUCCUUUAAAGUUGGCGAACCAACACAGAUAGGAUACAUAUAAAAACAUAAACAUUUUUGGCAGUCAAUCAUUUCAUAAACAUUUCAUUUCAUUUCAUGAACAUUUCAUUUUCAUUUCAUAAGAGUCAUUUAUCAUUUGGGCAUAAUAAUAAACUGAAAUUAACAGUUAAAAUCAUCUCAUGCAUAUAUUCGUAUAAGAGGCCUACGACACGCAGGGGAUCUCUAUAUACGUAUAGUAAAAGUAAUGCCCACCUGGAUAGGCAAAGCCUGAAGAUCAUAAUCACAUAUACCUGUCUUGGGAAAGCAGUGCUAAUCCCCCUGGUCCACAAAGCCUACAAGAAAUCUAUUCUCAAUAGGUCUCCUUGAAUCUAAUCUUAAGUCAUGGUGUAGUGCUUAACAUUCUAUGAUUCACUUAGCCGGGUUUUCAAAAUUUAAUGAAUAAAUAAUUGAAAACUAUUUUUCUUGAGUUAAGAACACCAACAAUAUUCUUACUCACUUUUCUUAAAUAAUUGGAAUUAUAAUUAAAACCAAUUAAAUACUUUUAUUGCAAAAUAAAUGCAACUUCAUGUCAUGCUUAGCAUAUAAUAAGUAAUUUACUUAAAAUAUGCACAUAAUAAUAAUAUGAUAUUAUUAUGAAAAUUAUCCUUUAAAUAAAUUAAUCAAACUAGUAAUAGUUCAAUUAAUUAAAAAUAAGAAAGCCCAAUUUAAUUAAUUGAAGGCAAUCCAAAGUCUUUAAAAAUAAUUAAUCAAACUAAUUAAUAGUCUAAUUAAAUAAAAUAGGGAAGCCAUUUAUAUAGAUGAAAUAGAGCCCAUGCUUAAAUAAAUAAUAGUCCAUAUAAAUUUAAAAGAUGAGGCCCAACUCAAUAAAAUAGGAAUGGCCCAAACUGAAUAAAAUGAAUCGGGCCCAGCUAAAUAAAAUUAAAAAAAAUACGGCCCAAGCUUUUUAAAAAAAAUCGCAGCCCAAAACUAUUUAAAAAUAGGCCCAAUACUCGGCCCAAGUCCCUCAAGCCCAAACCUCUAAGCCCAACCCAAGCCCAACAACCCCAAACUAAGCCCUAGCCCAAACACUCACCCUUUUCUCCCCCUUCAGACGCACACGCACACACACACAACCACAAACGCACACACACACAAACACAAACGCAGCAGCACUCAGAUGGAAGAACACACACACACGCACGCCAAGAACUCGGUCUCUCUCUCCCUCUUCCAGAAGUAAGCUCGCCGGAGGAGCAGCGGCGACGAGCCGCGCCAUCCUCGGCUCUCUCUCAAUUGCCCGUUCCUCCCUCUCCCUCGGAAUUCCGCUGCCGCCGCCGCCGAAGCUUGCCAGAGCAACAGCGACAGCCGCUGACGACGCUCGGCUCUGUGACUGCAGCGGCGAAGGCUGCCGCGGCCACCUCCGGUCGUCCUCGCCUCUCCCGUUCACGUCUCCCUCUCUCUCACACCCCGGCACGCACAGGCGACGCGCACCCAACUGACAGGCGGCGAAGCAGCGGCAAUAAAUCAUCGCCUCAUCUCCCUCUGUACCCCCCAUGUUCUCUCUCCUCCUCGGCGACGACGGAACGCAGCCGCCUCCCUCGGCCUCUCUCUCUCUCAUUGUGCGCCGGAAGUACAACAGCAAUGAGCUGCCGCCGUCCUCCGCUCAACCCUGCUCUCCCUCCGUCCGUGGCCGGACGACAGCGGCAGGGCCGCCGCGCCACGGCCUCCCUCUGCGAAAUCUCAGCCUAGUCCAGCCACCACCCCGACUCGACUCACACCCAAAAACAGCAACCCGACUCAACGUUCCAAACACUCAGAUCCGACAGACAAGAACAAAGUUUAAAACUUCAAUUAUCGACAUGUUUCAAAAUAUUUCUAUUCUUCUUUCUUCUCUUAUUUAAAAAAAUAAUCAUGCUCUGAUGUAUAUAUAUAUAAUGUACAUACAUAUAUGCUUGUGAAUGUGUUGGUUUUACUGGUAGUUGUAUGCUAUGAAUAAUUUAGAUGAAAAGCUCAGCAGAGUAAAGAAUUUGAGAGAGAGAUAUGCAGUGUAUGGUUUUUAAAAAAAAAUUGAACCUUUGAAGCUCUUUGCUUUGCUAGGGAGUUGUUACUGCACAAUCAAGAGGAAAAGAACUUAGAUUCUUAUUGCUGUAGAAAGAAGCUUGCUGCAGGUUGAGAAAUUUGGUGAAGGGGCCUUACGAAAAUAUUUUGGUGGAAUAAGUGAGAGAGAGCUUGGCUGUUGUAUAUCUUUGAAACAACAGAGGAGUCUUGGGGAGCUGUAAAGAUCCUGCAAGGAGCUGUAAAGAUCCUGCAUAAGAUCUGCUAAAAUUUGGGAUAAGAUUUGCUAAGAUAUGUAAUGAUUUGAUUGCCUGUAAAGGAGUAGGUGUAGUGGGUGUAUUGCAGUAGGGAAGUUGGUGAUGUGCUGCAGUAGAGGAGUUAGUGGUGGGAGUAGGUGUAGGAAAAAAAAUAAAAUAAAAUAAGAUAAAAUAAAAUAAAAAGUCUUCCAGGUUGUACUAUGAAAACUGUAAUAAUUCUUCAGUGUUUGCUUAAAUAAAAGCUCGUGAAAAUGCUUUGAUUGCUAAAUUAAAUAAAUAUGCAAUGCAUAUAAAUUUAAUAAUUAAAUUUACAAAUGUUUUUGUAAAUUAUUUUUGUUGGAAUUAAAAUAAAUUCUUUUUCUCAAUCCGGCGUGAAUCAUCUUAAAUCUUAAGUUCAAAAUAAAUUCUAAAUUUAACUCAGGAAAAACGGGGUAUUACAUUCCUCCCUCCUUAUAAAAAUUUCGUCCUCGAAAUUGCAUAUCUGGUGUUCUAUCUUGUGAUACUUGUCAUUCGUUUCAUUCAUCUCUUUUGUGGC